UCCAGAGAUGGAUUGGUGCCUUCGGGAACUGUGAGACAGGUGCUGCAUGGCUGUCGUCAGCUCGUGUUGUGAAAUGUUGGGUUAAGUCCCGCAACGAGCGCAACCCUUAUCCUUUGUUGCCAGCGGUUAGGCCGGGAACUCAAAGGAGACUGCCAGUGAUAAACUGGAGGAAGGUGGGGAUGACGUCAAGUCAUCAUGGCCCUUACGACCAGGGCUACACACGUGCUACAAUGGCAUAUACAAAGAGAAGCGACCUCGCGAGAGCAAGCGGACCUCAUAAAGUAUGUCGUAGUCCGGAUUGGAGUCUGCAACUCGACUCCAUGAAGUCGGAAUCGCUAGUAAUCGUAGAUCAGAAUGCUACGGUGAAUACGUUCCCGGGCCUUGUACACACCGCCCGUCACACCAUGGGAGUGGGUUGCAAAAGAAGUAGGUAGCUUAACCUUCGGGAGGGCGCUUACCACUUUGUGAUUCAUGACUGGGGUGAAGUCGUAACAAGGUAACCGUAGGGGAACCUGCGGUUGGAUCACCUCCUUACCUUAAAGAA
rnacentral:rRNA from 3 species